ACCUGCUCGCUGAAUAUCGAGGACGACCUCGCCUGUGCCAUUCGUGGCCUCUCCUGGAGUUCAGAGCUCGCGCCUGCCCCAGGCCUUCAGAGGUCAUCUCGCAAGCAGCUGAGCAACAAAUUAAGGGUGACUAGGCGAGACACACCUUCAGUAUGAAGGAAAUCAAAGUAAGAAAGGAGCCAUCAUAGCAGAGAUUCCGGAAGGUGUGGCCUUCCUAUUUCCUGUUGGGCUAUUGACUUGUUGAUAUGGUGUAGAAAACUAAAUCCUCAGAGAACAUUGACAGAUGCAAAGUAAUUUUUCACAUGCCAUAUGUUUCAUUCACGAGAACACUACCCAGUGCUUG